UGGGGUAUUAGUAUAUGGGUUAUUAUAAUCGGCUGUCUACCGAUAGAAACGGUUUCGAGUACCGUAUACCUCGUUUA
rnacentral:tRNA from 1 species